rnacentral:rRNA from 1 species
GAUGAACGCUGGCGGCGUGCUUAACACAUGCAAGUCGAACGAAGCACUUAAGAUUGAUUCUUCGGAUGACGUCUUUUGUGACUUAGUGGCGGACGGGUGAGUAACGCGUGGGUAACCUGCCUCACACAGGGGGAUAACAGUUAGAAAUGACUGCUAAUACCGCAUAACCCGAUAGGAUCGCAUGAUCCAGACGGAAAAGAUUUAUCGGUGUGAGAUGGACCCGCGUCUGAUUAGCUAGUUGGUGAGGUAACGGCCCACCAAGGCGACGAUCAGUAGCCGGCCUGAGAGGGUGAACGGCCACAUUGGGACUGAGACACGGCCCAAACUCCUACGGGAGGCAGCAGUGGGGAAUAUUGCACAAUGGGGGAAACCCUGAUGCAGCGACGCCGCGUGAGUGAAGAAGUAUUUCGGUAUGUAAAGCUCUAGCAGCAGGGAAGAAAAUGACGGUACCUGACUAAGAAGCCCCGGCUAACUACGUG